UACAGAGGUCGCAACCGUUGUUCGGAUUCAUUGGGCGUAAAGGGUGCGUAGGCGGUCGUGCAAGUCGGAUGUGAAAUCUCAGGGCUCAACCCUGAAACUGCAUUCGAUACUGCGCGGCUAGAGUGCUGGAGGGGAGACUGGAAUUUACGGUGUAGCAGUGAAAUGCGUAGAUAUCGUAAGGAAGACCAGUGGCGAAGGCGAGUCUCUGGACAGCAACUGACGCUGAGGCACGAAGGCCAGGGGAGCAAACGGG
rnacentral:rRNA from 1 species